AAAUUGAAGAGUUUGAUCAUGGCUCAGAUUGAACGCUGGCGGCAGGCCUAACACAUGCAAGUCGAACGGUAACAGGAAGCAGCUUGCUGCUUCGCUGACGAGUGGCGGACGGGUGAGUAAUGUCUGGGAAACUGCCUGAUGGAGGGGGAUAACUACUGGAAACGGUGGCUAAUACCGCAUAACGUCGCAAGACCAAAGAGGGGGACCUUCGGGCCUCUUGCCAUCAGAUGUGCCCAGAUGGGAUUAGCUAGUUGGUGAGGUAACGGCUCACCAAGGCGACGAUCCCUAGCUGGUCUGAGAGGAUGACCAGCCACACUGGAACUGAGACACGGUCCAGACUCCUACGGGAGGCAGCAGUGGGGAAUAUUGCACAAUGGGCGCAAGCCUGAUGCAGCCAUGCCGCGUGUAUGAAGAAGGCCUUCGGGUUGUAAAGUACUUUCAGCGGGGAGGAAGGUGUUGUGGUUAAUAACCGCAGCAAUUGACGUUACCCGCAGAAGAAGCACCGGCUAACUCCGUGCCAGCAGCCGCGGUAAUACGGAGGGUGCAAGCGUUAAUCGGAAUUACUGGGCGUAAAGCGCACGCAGGCGGUCUGUCAAGUCGGAUGUGAAAUCCCCGGGCUCAACCUGGGAACUGCAUUCGAAACUGGCAGGCUUGAGUCUUGUAGAGGGGGUAGAAUUCCAGGUGUAGCGGUGAAAUGCGUAGAGAUCUGGAGGAAUACCGGUGGCGAAGGCGGCCCCCUGGACAAAGACUGACGCUCAGGUGCGAAAGCGUGGGGAGCAAACAGGAUUAGAUACCCUGGUAGUCCACGCCGUAAACGAUGUCUACUUGGAGGUUGUGCCCUUGAGGCGUGGCUUCCGGAGCUAACGCGUUAAGUAGACCGCCUGGGGAGUACGGCCGCAAGGUUAAAACUCAAAUGAAUUGACGGGGGCCCGCACAAGCGGUGGAGCAUGUGGUUUAAUUCGAUGCAACGCGAAGAACCUUACCUGGUCUUGACAUCCACAGAAGAAUCCAGAGAUGGAUUGGUGCCUUCGGGAACUGUGAGACAGGUGCUGCAUGGCUGUCGUCAGCUCGUGUUGUGAAAUGUUGGGUUAAGUCCCGCAACGAGCGCAACCCUUAUCCUUUGUUGCCAGCGAUUAGGUCGGGAACUCAAAGGAGACUGCCAGUGAUAAACUGGAGGAAGGUGGGGAUGACGUCAAGUCAUCAUGGCCCUUACGACCAGGGCUACACACGUGCUACAAUGGCGCAUACAAAGAGAAGCGACCUCGCGAGAGCAAGCGGACCUCAUAAAGUGCGUCGUAGUCCGGAUUGGAGUCUGCAACUCGACUCCAUGAAGUCGGAAUCGCUAGUAAUCGUGGAUCAGAAUGCCACGGUGAAUACGUUCCCGGGCCUUGUACACACCGCCCGUCACACCAUGGGAGUGGGUUGCAAAAGAAGUAGGUAGCUUAACCUUCGGGAGGGCGCUUACCACUUUGUGAUUCAUGACUGGGGUGAAGUCGUAACAAGGUAACCGUAGGGGAACCUGCGGUUGGAUCACCUCCUUACCUUAAAGAAGC
rnacentral:rRNA from 2 species